rnacentral:tRNA from 1 species
GCAACCGUAGCUCAGAACGGCAGAGCAUCUCCCCGUGUUGAAAAUUCACCCAAUCACUCUGUAACAAGGGAGAAGGCGCCCGGUUCAAAUCCGGGGGGUUGCA